GAUAGUGCAGAGUCAGACUAGCCAGGGCUUUAUCCUGGAAAAUCUUGAGAUGAGACAGCUAUAGGCCUACUUUACCAACUCUUCAUAUGUCCUGAGUUGAAAGGUGUUGAAACUGUUGUGAAGGAUGGUGGAGUACUUGCUAGACAACAUUGGACCUGAGUGUGGUUCCCAGCAUGGGGGGUGACAGGGUUUUGACAGGUUGUGUCAAAAGGACAGACAAUAAGCCAGGUGUGGGUGGCGCACACCUUUAGUACUAGCAUUUGGGAGGCAGUGGCAAGCAGAUCUUUGUGAGUUUGAGGCCAAGUCCCAAAUAGCCAGGACUGGUUACACUGAGAAACCCUGACUCAAAAGAAGACAAACAACAACAACAACAAAUAAAUAAAAAAAUAAAAACAAAAAACCCUCAAACCAAACAAAAAACCUCAAAACAAAACCAGUAUGAGAAAAUGCCAGGGAUUUGUGGAAAAGCCCAAGUGAAAUAGAAAUCUGAAAUAGACUUAUUCCAUCUAUCCCAAGCAUAGAUUCUCUAAUCCAUUAUCUUGAGUGAGUGAAUUCAUAUCUGACCUGUCUUUAGUAAGCUAUGCAGAUAAAAGAUGCUAAGGAGUGAGCUGUAGAAAUCAGGCUCCAUAAUAUAUAUAAGGGGAAACCCUGAGAUACGAGGAACUUUGUCAUUGAGGCAGAGACACACUUAAUAGAUUUAGUUCAGAAACUGGUGAAAACAGAAGCCCACCAUUAUCACUAACUUAAAUCAUCAUUGGGGGCAGGGUCUUGUGUAGCUCAGGGUGGCCUCAAAGUUACAUUCCUCUGCCUCAGCUCCAUGAUUCAUUUUAAAUAUUCAGUAUCAACAGCAGUUAUAAAUAUACAAAGGGACAAUAUCUGACCUGCAUGUGAGAGGGAAAAUGAGUUAGUAGAAAUUAUCUCAGGUGACCCAAGUGUGGAUUUGGCACACAGACUCCAGCUAUUUCUUUCUUUUUGGGUUUUGAGACAGUCUUCCUGUUUAGUCUAGGCUGGCCUUGAACUCUAAAUCCUCCUUGCUCAGACUUUUACAGUUCUGAGAUUAUAGGACAUACUUAAGCUCCUCAAAGCUUUUCCAUUUUUUCUUUCAACAGGGCUUACACAUUGUUGGCAUGCAGCAUAGAGAUUCUUCAAAGAAAGAAUAUUUAAGGACUUAGAAGAAAAUAUGAAGACAUUGACUUAAUACAAAGAAUUUUAAUAGCCAGAUACUAAGAAUAAACUCGGGGAUGAACAGCUCAUUUGAACCGAAAUAUUAAGCAGGAUGGGCUAGUAAAAACUUGGAGGUGAU
rnacentral:lncRNA from 1 species